UAAAAAGUUUAUUAGAGGUCAAGAGUUGUUUCCUGCGCCCUUUGUAGGUGGGUGGUAGCUUCUCUGUUGGCAAGUCAUUAAUUCAAAUAAGAAAAGAAAUGCACAUUUAUGGGAUCGUCAUCCUUUAUAAAGCGAGAGAUGAGGCUAAACUUUUAGUCACCGCUGAAAACUUGUCAAGUUUUGGAUAUUUUCAAAGAUCCACAGUUCGCGAAUUUAUCCAAUUUUUUGCAAUAACUUUAUGUAUGCGUUUAGCGCCAGGCGCUCAUCAUUCUGUAGAGG